rnacentral:rRNA from 1 species
GGUGAGCAACACGNGGGUAACCNGCCCANCAGAAGGGGANAACACUNGGAAACAGGNGCUAAUACCGUAUAACAAUCGAAACCGCAUGGUNUUGAUCUGAAAGGCGCCUUCGGGNGNCNCNGAUGGAUGGACCCGCGGNGCAUUANCUANUNGGNGAGGUAACGGCUCACCAAGGCCACGAUGCAUAGCCGACCUGAGAGGGUGAUCGGCCACAUUGGGACUGAGACACGGCCCAAACUCCUACGGGAGGCAGCAGUAGGGAAUCUUCGGCAAUGGACGAAAGNCUGACCGAGCAACGCCGCGUGAGNGAAGAAGGUUUUCGGAUCGUAAAACUCUGUUGUUAGAGAAGAACAAGGAUGAGAGUAACUGUUCAUCCCUNGNNGGUAUCUAACCAGAAAGCCACGGCUAACUACGUGCCAGCAGCCGCGGUAAUACGUAGGUGGCAAGCGUUGUCCGGAUUUAUUGGGCGUAAAGCGAGCGCAGGCGGUUUCUUAAGUCUGAUGUGAAAGCCCCCGGCUCANCCGGGGAGGGUCAUUGGAAACUGGGAGACUUGAGUGCAGAAGANGAGAGUGGAAUUCCAUGUGUAGCGGUGAAAUGCGUAGAUAUAUGGAGGAACACCAGUGGCGANNGCGGCUCUCUGGUCUGUAACUGACGCUGANGCUCGAAAGCGUGGGGAGCAAACAGGAUUAGAUACCCUGGUAGUCCACGCC